GCCUGGGUGGCUCAGUUGGUUGGGCAUCUGACUUCGGCUCAGGUCAUGACCUCACUGUUCAUGGGUUCAGGCCCCGUAUCAGGCU
rnacentral:tRNA from 1 species